GACAGAGGAGGCGAGCGUUGUUCGGAAUCAUUGGGCUUAAAGCGCGUGUAGGCGGCUUCGUAAGUGUCUUGUGAAAUCCCGUGGCUCAACCACGGAACUGCUGGGCAUACUGCGAGGCUUGAGGUUGGUAGAGGUGCCUGGAACUCUUGGUGGAGCGGUGAAAUGUGUAGAUAUCAAGAGGAACGCCGGAGGCGAAAGCGGGGCACUGGGCCAAAUCUGACGCUGAGACGCGAAAGCGUGGGGAUCAAACAGG
rnacentral:rRNA from 1 species